UACGAAGGGGGCUAGCGUUGUUCGGAUUUACUGGGCGUAAAGCGCACGUAGGCGGAUCUUUAAGUCAGAGGUGAAAUCCCAAGGCUCAACCUUGGAACUGCCUUUGAUACUGGGGAUCUUGAGUCCGGGAGAGGUGAGUGGAACUGCGAGUGUAGAGGUGAAAUUCGUAGAUAUUCGCAAGAACACCAGUGGCGAAGGCGGCUCACUGGCCCGGUACUGACGCUGAGGUGCGAAAGCGUGGGGAGCAAACAGGG
rnacentral:rRNA from 1 species